UCAGGGAGGCUGAGAUAUGAGUCACCCCCCAGAGACACUGACCUAGCAGCACCGGCCUCUCUAGAAGGAGGCUGGCGCUAGGUGCCCUGAAUGACAGACUUGCCUCUUGCCGUAUCGGUGGGCGUGAGCACUUUGUCAUCUCUUGUCACUAACCUCUGAAGGGCUGCACGGUUGCACGGCUGGGAGACCUCUGUCCACAGUUCUGUUAUCAGUCUGUCCUCACGCCACCAGGGAGAGCUACACUGCCAGGGAGAGCGGUGCCACCUGGCCCUGUUUUGGACCACAACAGACGCUGAGCAGUCGAGAUGUAACAGGCAACGGAGCUACAGGUUGGCAUUCUCCGCAAUCCAUCUCCAAGCUCUGGAGUGAAGCAGGCGAGCCACCCUCUGACACCCAUGACUUGUUGAAGUCUAAAGGCCAUUUAUUUUCUGCUCGGGGAAGCAGCCUCGCUCUCAGCCACCACCGAGGCUUGUCAGUGCCUGGGCUCCUGCGAUUGGGGGCCUUCUCCGGAGCCCGCAGCCCUUCCCUACAGACGGGGAAACGGGAUUAAGAAUCUCUUAGCAACACCCUAGCGGAACUCAGCUAGCCUGGCUGGGCUGACCUGCUGUUUGUUUAGUGUC